rnacentral:rRNA from 1 species
UACGGAGGGGGCAAGCGUUGUUCGGAAUACUGGGCGUAAAGCGCGCGUAGGCGGUUAGCAUAGUCAGGCGUGAAAUCCCGGGGCUCAACCCCGGAACUGCGCUUGAUACUGGCUAACUAGAGGUCUGGAGAGGGUAGUGGAAUUCCCAGUGUAGAGGUGAAAUUCGUAGAUAUUGGGAAGAACACCAGCGGCGAAGGCGGCUACCUGGACAGAUACUGACGCUGAGGUGCGAAAGCGUGGGGAGCGAACAGGAUUAGAUACCCCGUAGUCC